rnacentral:rRNA from 2 species
AGGUUAAGUUAGUAAGGGCGCACGGUGAAUGCCUUGGCACUAGGAGCCGAUGAAGGACGGUACUAACACCGAUAUGCUUCGGGGAGCUGUAAGUAAGCUUUGAUCCGGAGAUUUCCGAAUGGGGGAACCCACUACUCGUAAUGGAGUAGUAUUUUCACCUGAAUACAUAGGGUGAUAAAGGCAGACCCGGGGAACUGAAACAUCUAAGUACCCGGAGGAAGAGAAAGCAAACGCGAUUUCCUGAGUAGCGGCGAGCGAAACGGAAUUAGCCCAAACCAAGAGGCUUGCCUCUUGGGGUUGUAGGACACUCUAUACGGAGUUACAAAGGAAUGAAGUAGAUGAAGAGGUCUGGAAAGGCCCGUCAAAGAAGGUAACAACCCUGUAGUUGAAACCUCAUUCCCUCCAGAGUGGAUCCUGAGUACGGCGGGACACGAGAAAUCCCGUCGGAAGCAGGGAGGACCAUCUCCCAAGGCUAAAUACUCCCUAGUGACCGAUAGUGAACCAGUACCGUGAGGGAAAGGUGAAAAGCACCCCGGAAGGGGAGUGAAACAGAUCCUGAAACCGUGUGCCUACAAGUAGUCAAAGCCCUUGUCGAUAUUUCCUUAGGGAAAAUCGCGGGUAAUGGCGUGCCUUUUGUAGAAUGAACCGGCGAGUUACGAUCACAUGCAAGGUUAAGUUGAUAAGACGGAGCCGCAGCGAAAGCGAGUCUGAAUAGGGCGAUAUAGUUUGUGGUCGUAGACCCGAAACCAGGUGAUCUACCCAUGUCCAGGGUGAAGUUCAGGUAACACUGAAUGGAGGCCCGAACCCACGCAUGUUGAAAAAUGCGGGGAUGAGGUGUGGGUAGCGGAGAAAUUCCAAUCGAACCUGGAGAUAGCUGGUUCUCUCCGAAAUAGCUUUAGGGCUAGCCUUGAAUUUAGAGUCUUGGAGGUAGAGCACUGAUUGAACUAGGGGUCGUCAUCGGAUUACCGACUUCAGGCAAACUCCGAGUGCGAAUGACUGAUUCUGAG